AUUGUUCGUCAAAAAUUGAAUGAUAGGGAGGAAGAAAUAAAUAAAAUGAAGGAAAUGACCCAAGAUGCAGAUGGCGUAAGGCAACUUUAUGCUUUGGCACAGGAAAGAACAGGUGAAAAGAGCACUGGAUAUCUGGCAGUUGAAAAGCUCCAAUUUGAAAGAGCUCAAUUGGAAGUUGAAGCUGCAACCAGUGCUCUCCGGAAACUCGCUGAAUUCAGCCGUGGCCUUUUGAACAGAGCUAGUUUGACCAUUGAGGCUGACUAUGACAGCAGCCUUUGGUUGGUUGACAUCCCAGAAACUGCAGCGAAUGUCUCUAGCA
rnacentral:misc_RNA from 1 species